AGAGUUUGAUCCUGGCUCAGGAUGAACGCUGGCGGCGUGCUUAACACAUGCAAGUCGAACGGUGAACACGGAGCUUGCUCUGUGGGAUCAGUGGCGAACGGGUGAGUGACACGUGAGCAACCUGCCCCUGACUCUGGGAUAAGCGCUGGAAACGGCGUCUAAUACUGGAUAUGUGACGUGAUCGCAUGGUCUGCGUCUGGAAAGAAUUUCGGUUGGGGAUGGGCUCGCGGCCUAUCAGCUUGUUGGUGAGGUAAUGGCUCACCAAGGCGUCGACGGGUAGCCGGCCUGAGAGGGUGACCGGCCACACUGGGACUGAGACACGGCCCAGACUCCUACGGGAGGCAGCAGUGGGGAAUAUUACACAAUGGGCGCAAGCCUGAUGCAGCAACGCCGCGUGAGGGACGACGGCCUUCGGGUUGUAAACCUCUUUUAGCAGGGAAGAAGCGAAAGUGACGGUACCUGCAGAAAAAGCGCCGGCUAACUACGUGCCAGCAGCCGCGGUAAUACGUAGGGCGCAAGCGUUAUCCGGAAUUAUUGGGCGUAAAGAGCUCGUAGGCGGUUUGUCGCGUCUGCUGUGAAAUCCGGAGGCUCAACCUCCGGCCUGCAGUGGGUACGGGCAGACUAGAGUGCGGUAGGGGAGAUUGGAAUUCCUGGCGUAGCGGUGGAAUGCGCAGAUAUCAGGAGGAACACCGAUGGCGAAGGCAGAUCUCUGGGCCGUAACUGACGCUGAGGAGCGAAAGGGUGGGGAGCAAACAGGCUUAGAUACCCUGGUAGUCCAA
rnacentral:rRNA from 1 species